AACGUAGGAGGCAAGCGUUAUCCGGAGUUACUGGGCGUAAAGCGCGUGUAGGCGGCUCGGUAAGUGGGUCGUGAAAGCGCCCGGCUAAACUGGGCGAGGACGAUCGAGACUGCCAGGCUAGAGGGUGGUAGAGGGACAGGGAAUUCCGGGUGUAGCGGUGAAAUGUGUAGAGAUCCGGAGGAACACCGAUGGCGAAGGCAGCCUCCUGGGCCAAUACUGACGCUCAUGCACGAAAGCGUGGGGAGCAAACAGG
rnacentral:rRNA from 1 species